AGCGAACGCUGGCGGCAGGCCUAACACAUGCAAGUCGAGCGGCCGUAGCAAUACGGCAGCGGCAGACGGGAGAGUAACACGUGGGAACGCGCCCUUCGGUUCGGGAUAACUCAGGGAAACUUGGGCUAAUACCGAAUACGCCCUUACGGGGAAAGAUUUAUUGCCGAAGGAACGGCCCGCGUCCGAUUAGCUAGUUGGUGAGGUAACGGCUCACCAAGGCGACGAUCGGUAGCUGGUCUGAGAGGAUGACCAGCCUCACUGGGACUGAGACACGGCCCAGACUCCUACGGGAGGCAGCAGUGGGGAAUAUUGGACAAUGGGCGCAAGCCUGAUCCAGCCAUGCCGCGUGGGUGAUGAAGGCCCUAGGGUUGUAAAGCCCUUUCAGCGGGGAAGAUAAUGACGGUACCCGCAGAAGAAGCCCCGGCUAACUUCGUGC
rnacentral:rRNA from 1 species